GGCAGGGUAGCAAAGUGGUUUAAUGCAGCGGCCUUAAGCGCCGGGUGUAUUACACCCUGACAGAGAUCCGCCAUUCGCGGGUUCGAAUCCCGCCCUUGCCA